CAUAAACUGCAUUUUUAAUAUAUCCCCAGAGAAAAAAGAUCUUACGGUAUCAUAUCUGGACUUCGUGCUGGCCAUUGGAUUUUUGGACUUCGAGUACCCAUCCAAUUAUCUUUAAAAUACAAUUUAUAUUAGAUUUUCAAUAUAUUUAGUUGUUUGAGAAAAAAUAUGAUGAUAAUUACUUCCAAAUGUGUACUUUAAAUAGUUCUGAACCUGCUGGUAAUUAUGGGCUGUAGCACCUUCUGUUGCCAGAAUAUUUUUUUC